rnacentral:rRNA from 1 species
CCUACGGGGCGCAGCAGUGGGGAAUAUUGGACAAUGGGCGAAAGCCUGAUCCAGCCAUGCCGCGUGUGUGAAGAAGGCCUUCGGGUUGUAAAACACUUUCAGUGGGGAAGAAAGCCUUGGGGCUAAUACCCUCGAGGAAGGACAUCACCCACAGAAGAAGCACCGGCUAACUCCGUGCCAGCAGCCGCGGUAAUACGGAGGGUGCGAGCGUUAAUCGGAAUUACUGGGCGUAAAGCGCGCGUAGGCGGUCUGAUAAGCCGGUUGUGAAAGCCCCGGGCUCAACCUGGGAACGGCAUCCGGAACUGUCAGGCUAGAGUGCAGGAGAGGAAGGUAGAAUUCCCGGUGUAGCGGUGAAAUGCGUAGAGAUCGGGAGGAAUACCAGUGGCGAAGGCGGCCUUCUGGACUGACACUGACGCUGAGGUGCGAAAGCGUGGGUAGCAAACAGGAUUAGAUACCCGAGUAGUC